AACGAACGCUGGCGGCAUGCCUAACACAUGCAAGUCGAACGAAGGCUUCGGCCGUAGUGGCGCACGGGUGCGUAACGCGUGGGAAUCUGCCCUUUGGUUCGGAAUAACAGCUGGAAACGGCUGCUAAUACCGGAUGAUGGCGAAAGCCCAAAGAUUUAUCGCCAGAGGAUGAGCCCGCGUUGGAUUAGGUAGUUGGUGGGGUAAAGGCCUACCAAGCCGACGAUCCAUAGCUGGUCUGAGAGGAUGAUCAGCCACACUGGGACUGAGACACGGCCCAGACUCCUACGGGAGGCAGCAGUGGGGAAUAUUGGACAAUGGGCGCAAGCCUGAUCCAGCAAUGCCGCGUGAGUGAUGAAGGCCCUAGGGUUGUAAAGCUCUUUUACCCGGGAAGAUAAUGACUGUACCGGGAGAAUAAGCCCCGGCUAACUCCGUG
rnacentral:rRNA from 1 species